rnacentral:tRNA from 1 species
GGCCUGAUAGCUCAGCUGGUAGAGCAUAAGACAUGCAUCUAGGGGUUGCAGGUUCGAUGCCUGUUCAGGCCG